rnacentral:rRNA from 1 species
GAGUUUGAACCUGGCUCAGGAUAAACGCUGGCGGCGCACAUAAGACAUGCAAGUCGAACGGACUUAAUCUUAAUAUUUAUAUUGAGAAGCGGUUAGUGGCGGACUGGUGAGUAACGCGUAAGCAAUCUGCCUAUUAGAGGGGAAUAACAGUGAGAAAUCAUUGCUAAUACCGCAUAUGCCAUAAGAACCACAUGGUUCUAGUGGGAAAGGAGUAAUCCGCUAAUAGAUGAGCUUGCGUCUGAUUAGCUAGUUGGUGUGGUAAUGGCACACCAAGGCAACGAUCAGUAGCCGGACUGAGAGGUUGAACGGCCACAUUGGGACUGAGAUACGGCCCAGACUCCUACGGGAGGCAGCAGUCGGGAAUAUUGCGCAAUGGAGGAAACUCUGACGCAGUGACGCCGCGUAUGGGAAGAAGGUUUUCGGAUUGUAAACUAUUGUCGUUAGGGAAGAUAAAAGACAGUACCUAAGGAGGAAGCUCCGGCUAACUACGUGCCAGCAGCCGCGGUAAUACGUAGGGAGCAAGCGUUAUCCGGAUUUAUUGGGUGUAAAGGGUGCGUAGACGGGAAAUUAAGUUAGUUGUGAAAUCCCUCGGCUCAACUGAGGAACUGCAACUAAAACUGAUUUUCUUGAGUGCAGGAGAGGUAAGUGGAAUUCCUAGUGUAGCGGUGAAAUGCGUAGAUAUUAGGAGGAACACCAGUGGCGAAAGCGACUUACUGGACUGUAACUGACGUUGAGG